rnacentral:hammerhead_ribozyme from 1 species
AUCCAGCUGACGAGUCCCAAAUAGGACGGAACAAGUGUCCUGGAU